AGCCUCAAGGAUGAAUAAGAUACAACUCCAUUAGCUUACCAUCUAUAAGGAAAAGGAGCCAUGCUCACAAGUAAUAGUGGUACAAAGUGAUGGAUGAGGUGCUCCUGUCUGAUCUUCACAUGGCCAGUGCAGCCCUGGGGAGAUAACAUAAACAUACUCAUGCCUAGACCCUAUUCCGGGGCAAUUAAAUGAGGAUCUUUUGGGUGGUGGAGCCCAGGAGUUGGUAUUUUUUAAAUAUUCCUCAGGUCAUUCUAAGUGCAGCCUGCAUUGAGAUAUCAAUUAUCUUUAUUUUUUUCAAUGAUUACAAGCAUUUUAUGGUUCUUUUUGAGAGCAAAACUAAGAGACUCAUUUAUUUUGAUAGAUUCUAGGACUAAGACUCUUCCAAAAUAUUAAAUAUUUUUGAAAUACUACUAAUUAUCUUGAAAUGCUAAUAUAAAGGAAGAUGUAAAAUUUAAUUUAGAGUUAAAGCAAAUACUUCUAGUUCUGAAAAAACAUUUAUUUGCAUGAUUACAACAUUCAGAUGACAGCAGAAAAGGUGAAAAGCUCUAAAAAUUUCAGUCCUCUACUGCAAAGCCCAACAUUUAAAUGUACUGUAAUUGAUAUUGACAGAAAUUUCCUCAGACUCACCUUUACAGACAAUGAAAAACAAAGUUUCUCCCAAAGCGACUGCCAGAAAGUACUCAUUUGAUGUCUUGGGCACAGGGAAUGGCCUGAUGUCACAAAGCCCCCAAAUGCUGAAAGUAGGGACCCCCAUAGCUCUGUGACUCCAUCUUCUUUCUCGAAGAAACAAAGAGAUGUUUGAUUUGAAGCUAUUCCUCAGCAAAGUCCAGAAGAGAACAAUUUACAGUCCAGAAGAGAGCCACUUUUGCUCUGAAUCGUUAGCUCAUCCCCUGAUAAAGUAACGACAGACUGCUAAGAAGUCUCACCCUGUCCCUAGAUCUCAGCCUUUCAUCUGGAAAACCUUGCCUGAGAAUCAGAAAGAGAGAAGCAAGUCUUGUUCAAGCAUCUCAUCUCCUCUUUGAGAAAAAAGGUUGCGUUAUGAGACUCCUCUUCUCCAGAAAUAAAACUUCAAUCAGGCAUCUCUCUUCAUGAGGCCUUGUGUUGGCGGUUGUCAAGAGACACAAAAAGGCGUGAGGUAGCAUUCCUAUAUUCGGUGGUGGCACUUAUCUGGAUUUUGAAGCCAGCUCCAGGAGCCUGGUAAUUACCACGGAACCAGGCAGCAGAGGGAGCAGAUAAACUCAAAACAUUGAGUUUUCUGGGUGACAGGGAGCCAGGAGUUCUGAAGCCCUAAAAAUAUCUUUUAUCGUGGAGAACCCGUGCUUCUAUUUGAUGAUGAUAGUGGGGAGAUUCGCCCUGAGCUAGCAUCAGCUGCCAAUCUUCCUCUUUUUAUAUGUGAGCUGCCACCACAGCAUGGCCACUAACAGACGUGUGGUGUGGGUCCACGCCCAGGAACCGAACACAGGCUGCUAAAGUGGAGCACACUGAAGUUAACCACUAGGCCAAGGGGGCUGGCCUGAGGUUCAAUAAUUUUUAAUAAGUGCAAAAUAUGUACCAGCUCACACACACUCCCUGGUCUCAUGGAAUUUACGGCGUAGAUGAGAAGAUCAACAUUAAAGUCUAGCUGAUGAUACUGAUGAAUGCAUAACUAUACACAGAGUAGUGCUCUGAAGAAAGGAAUGCUGCACUACAAAAGGACACGAUGAAAGAGCCCGACCUUGACUGGGGAUCAGGGAAAGCUUCUUCGAGGAAGCAAUCCUUGAGCUGAGAACCGAUUUAAAGAAGACGGAAGUGACCAUAUGCCAGUUCAGAGUGGGACUUCAAGAAGCAUGAUGAGCUGACUUGUGCAAGUGGAGAUCAUCUUCAACAUGACAGGCAGAGCCAGGAGUAACAGAUGAAGAACGCUCCGCCUUCCUGGAGGUUCCUGUCAAAGCAG
ensembl:lncRNA